CGGCAAAUCUGUGUCAGUGUGUCACGAUUUAUUAUCGCAAGCAGCACGUUUCGAAUUAUACAAUCGUAGUGCAUUUUACAUUGUCGACCGAUAACGGAUAAAUGUUCGCAACGCGAUCAGACAUUUUCAUUAGAUCGAAAACUGUCCCGAGAGGCUAUGUUAACGAGCAAAAACCUAGAGCGUUGAUUGUCGUUGGAGGAACGUUGAGAAUCGACUGACCGCACGAGAGUUUACAUCGGACUGACGCUCACGUUUAUCGAUUCGCUUCUUGUGGAGAACGCCGUGCAAAAUCCGUGCCAAGUCUUGUCAUUGUACGUAUUGUGUGUUGGCGUCUGGGUUAUUCGGGCGGGGAGCGAAGUGAUGGAAAUUUCAAGAAAGCUUUUUGGCACCUGAAUCAAACUGAUGAAUCUGCCCGGAAGAGGUUUUCCUUUUAAUUUCCUCUCCUUUAUACAAAGCCAUUGGUUAUUUCGUUAUUGAAACAUAUAAGGCGUAAGAUGUAACACUAAGGAAAUUAAUUUUCGUCGGGCUUUUACGAAUUUAUUAAUUUCCUAAUUUUGCAAAUUAAAUUUCUAAUUCUUAGUUGAAGUUUAGAAAACUUUUUUUAAGGUUACAAUUAUUGUAGGUAUGUCUUGUGGGACACCCUGUAUAAGUUGUAAGGGCUCGCGCUAAUUAUCCGAUUCGACAAGGCGUACAAAUUCUCUAUAUCCCUUAUAUGCUUGAACGUUCGAUCGAUAGACCCUAUUAUUACACCUGGUAAUGUAUUAUUACGAAAGUGGUGAAUUUCAAGGAAAAUAUAAAAAAAAAACAUUUCUU